rnacentral:miRNA from 1 species
UAAUGAUCAAAAGAAAGAAAGAAAGAAAGGAAAAAGCUGACGACGUCUGAUAUGCUCUUCUACUAUGGAGGAGGAGAAGAAGAUUUUUACUACGGAGGUCGAUUUCCACUCCACACGCAAUCGAUAUGCUCUUCUACUUGUGUUUAUAUUUUUACUCGCUACCUUCCAAAACCCUUUCUUUCGUUUCUUUCUUUUCUCUCUUU